GAAGUGCACAUUAUAACCCAUCCCUAUGCUCCAAGCAUCGCCGACAGUGACAGGUAUAAUGCGUGUUACGUCGGGUACUCGUUCAACCGUGCACAAGCUUACAAGCAUCUCGCGCGCGCAGAAGAUACUGCCACGGUUUACACCGAGGGCGGCGCAACUGCAUGCUUGAAACUUCUUCGCCUCGCCGUUUUGGUGACACGCACAUUCGCGCGUCACCGACCAGUCGCCUUUCCUCGAUUCCGUUCGGUCGAGCCGUUGACUUGUGCGUCAGCAUCUGGAAGCUCCGUCGCUGGAACGCAGUGGCCUGCUCGUCCGUGGUUUUUUGGCCGUGGCUUCGCGGCGAGAUCCAUCCUGCUCAGCAAGCAACUGCGGUGAGGCGACAGAAAUGAGCACAAAAGCGAUGACAUCUCAGGAUUACAACGGUACACCAGCCCACCUGACCACCUGCAUGAAGCGGUAAUUGGGAAAAGGUUGAACGAUGAAGACGUUUUCUCACCCGCAAGGCUCCUGGAUACUGCACCAUAACGAUGCACAUACAUGCCUUUUGCUGCAGAAAAUGCUACCAGAGACGCGUGAAGUGACGCCGCUUACGACUAGAAGAAACGUUUCACCCUCAAGCUUCCUCCCAAUUCCCAACACCCGCUCCCAAUCAACCUUUCGUCCUUCAUUGAUGAAGAAAAAAAAAGAACUGUGAUGCGCGAUGUUUUGUCCAAAGUGACACGUUACAGCUGUGUGCGUGUGGUGUGUGUAUGUGUGUGUGUGCUUUAAUUCGUAUCACAACGACACUGUGUGACUCUUGACGGAGGUGAAGAAGACUGGACGAGAUAAGUAUUACAGGUUCUGGACAUUGUUUUGGACGUCGGCCUCUUCACUUGCGAACGCCUAAAGGUCAGUGUCAUGCAACCCCGUUUCUUACAGGGAAUUCACGUUACACUUCCCAGGGCUUUUCGCCCGAACCAGUUCGUGCGUUGUGCCUCAACGCUAAACAACGCCGCUGAGCGGACCCAAUGUAAUUCGCAAUUCAAGGAACCAUCCCGCGGUUUCUUCUGCUUUGCUUUCAGCAUCUGUUCGUGUAUAUAUAUCGCUGCACAUCUUUAUUUGGCGUUUCUCUAACAUGCU